rnacentral:pre_miRNA from 1 species
AUGAUACUCCCUCCGCCCGGAAAUACUUGUCAUCAAAAUGAAUAAAAGGAGAUGUAUCUAGAUGUAUUUUAGUUCUAGAUACAUCCCUUUUUGUCCAUUUUAAUGACAAGUAUUUUCGGACGGAGGGAGUACCUA